CCAAUUUGGAACCAGUCCAUUGUUCCAUGUCCAGUUCUAACUCUUGCUUCUUAACCUGCAUACAGGUUUCUCAGGAGGCAGGUAAGGUGGUCUGGUACGUUGCAGCAAGGGUGAUGUUAAAUCUGAAUAUAAUGGAAACUCACUAGUCUUCACAUGAAUGGGUUUCAAUUCUGGUGGUGUCUGAAAUUGUAGUUUGAAGACUAACUGUAUCACCAUCGUUCUUAGACAUGUGCAUUCUCAGACUCCCAGACUCCACCUUUGACCCACUGAAUGAAACUGCAGCAUUGGCACCCAGUCAUCUAUGUCCUAACAAACACUGGACUUGACUCUCAUGAAGAACAAAGUUUGACAAUCAUUGGUAUAUUGGUUUCUCCAUGUGAAUGAACUUCUCUUUUUGCACUUAGUUUCCCAUUUCAAAAAAAAGUCUUGGCUUUGUCAUUGUGUAUAUCAAUCUGAACGUGGACUUGAGAUGCCAAAGAGAAACAAUCUUUGUGGAAAACAGAUAUAGGUGAAUUCCCAUUUUUAUCUAUUCUGAAAUACUUCUAUCACAUUUUUAGAAAUACAGGACCUGAUUCAUUGGAUAAUUUCUCCUGUUUUGCAGGAGCUUCUUUAAUUAAUAUAUCUUUCCUCAGGGACAGGAUAUCAAUCAUUGAAACCCACUCUAAUAUCUUGGUUGAAAUAAGAUUUGAGGACAGUGGAAAGAAGAGGAGUCUUCCAAGGCAGCAAUCAAAAAUGGAUGGGAAGUCUAUGACUGUAAGCAACAUGAGAAAGGCUUCAGUGAAGACACUAACAUUAUGAUACACAGGAAUAUUCAGAAUGGAGAGAACACUUAAGAGCAUAAUGAGUGUGGAAGAAGCUUCCUACCUCCACAGAAGAAAACCUCUACUGUUGUGAAGCAUUCUGUUUAAUUAGUGUGGAAAAGCCAUCAGUCUGACUGAAUGCUGUAGAUGGGAGAACCAGCAUGGGAGAGAAAGCUGGAAGCCUCUGAGCAUCAGCUUUCUCUUCAGGCACAAAUGGUAACUCAGAAUGGGGAAAAACUGUGAAUAGAAGUAACAUGGGAAAGCUUCUGUUCACUUCCAAGCUAUGAUGUACAUGUACUAAAUCACACCUCAAACUAGUUAUGAAUGUAAGGAGUGUGGGAAAGUAUCGUACAUCCCUUAAAAUUCAUAUGGGAAUUCAUACUGGAGAGAAACUCAUGUUAAUGUAAAGAAUAUGGGAAAGCCUUCAUUAUACCUUCUAAACUUAAGCGGUAUAUAAAAUCUCAUACUGGAGACAGCACUUUAUAAGUAAGAAAUUUAGGAAAGCUUUCAUUAGAGUUUAUAAGUAGGUUUGAUGCAUGAUACAGGAUGCUUGGGGCUGGUGCACUGGGAUGACCCAGAU
rnacentral:lncRNA from 1 species